rnacentral:rRNA from 1 species
UACGGAGGGUGCGAGCGUUGUCCGGAAUCACUGGGCGUAAAGGGCGCGUAGGCGGCCUGAUAAGUAGGGGGUGAAAUCCUGCGGCUUAACCGCAGGGCUGCCUUCUAAACUGUCAGGCUAGAGCACAGUAGAGGCAGGUGGAAUUCCCGGUGUAGCGGUGGAAUGCGUAGAUAUCAAGAGGAACACCUGAGGUGAAGACGGGUUGCUGGGCCGACACUGACGCUGAUGCGCGAAAGCCAGGGGAGCAAACGGG